CGUGUAAGGCGUGCAGCUGCGGAGAUAGUCGAACAACGUUGCAGAAGGCAGCUGGUCUCGGUCCAAGGCAUGCUUCUGGCCAUUGAUGGCAAAGACAAUGUCUUGGUCAGGAUAUUUGGUGAAGAUCGCACUGGCUACCAUGACUAAAUCUUGUAUCACAACAAAUUCUCGACAAGGGCGUGGGUGUGCGUGUUGCGGUAGCUCCUGUGCGGCAUGCCCUGAAGGCUUCGCUGAAUACUUUGCGUCUAGCGUUGCCAGUUCCACAGCUUCAUUAAGAGCUCUGGCUCUUGUGCAGAUUGAAGCAAUUCUUAUUGAAUCU
rnacentral:lncRNA from 1 species